AUGUAUUUGAGCAUAGAAUCUGAUUUAGUGGGAAUUGAUGGUGCUUAUUUCACUUGAACCAAACGAUUAUGUACAUACCUUGCUUCAUAAUGAUAACUUGGAGACACUUCAGUUACUUCGUACUGUGGCUCUUCAUCACACAGUUUUGCAGGUCAGCCGAUGACAUGUCGUUUCAUGUUUGACUCGCCACGGAGCACUUCCUCGAGUGAGUGGCCUAUUGUUUCUUAUCUAUGAUAGAGGAGCUGCUACUGAUGCUCAAGUACUGUUCAAACGAAGGUAAAUAACUCCCAUUCCUAAGACAUUCUUUACUUUACUUUUCCGAAGCAAUUAGUCUUUUUUUGGUUUGAUGGCUCCAAAUAGUUUGUGUUUCGUUUUCUUCCACCGUUUUAUAUUAAUAUGUGGGUUCAGACAGCGGUGUAUUGGUUUGAUGGCUAAAUUUGGAUUUUUUGGUUGUUAUUCCUUCUCAGUUUUGCUGAUUAUGCAGAGCUGCACUACUCUUAGCCCAUAGGGUGUAUUUGUUCUUAUGUAUCUUGCAACUAUGUUAGAAACAACAUCACAAUUGCAUGCAGAGUUGGCUACCAUUCCUUCUUAGGUUUCCUGAAUGAUGUGGAGUAUUUUCCGAUUUGUACUACACAUAAUAUCAUAUAUCCA